rnacentral:rRNA from 1 species
UACGAGUGCUCCAAGCGUUAUCCGGAAUCAUUGGGCGUAAAGGGUGUGUAGGUGGUUGUGUUAGUCUUGUGUUAAAUUCUUCGGCUUAACCGGGGGUCUGCAUGGGAAACGGCACAACUAGAGGAUAGGAGAGGUACAUGGAACUCAUAGUGUAGGGGUGAAAUCCGUUGAUAUUAUGGGGAACACCAAAUGCGAAGGCAACGUACUGGCCUACUCCUGACACUGAAACACGAAAGCGUGGGUAGCGAAUGGG